AAAAAUCACUUAUUUACACUUAUAAUAAGUAUAUAUUGUGUUACAUUAUAACACAUAAUUGUAAAAUUUGGAGAAGCUGUAGAAAUUGUACGAUACGAGUGUCCUCUUCUCACACUCUAAGAUAUCGCCGGUUUUCCUUUCAGGAAGAACCCUCAAAUUAAUAUCGGCAGAUUAAAGUUUUCGUAUUUAUCCUUCUUCCGUCCUGAUAUAUAUGUUGUGUUUUUCAAGAUGUGCACGCAACCUGUUUGUCGUAAGUUCCAAAAGAAAGGAUUAUACGAUAAGAUCAAUGGUGGAUGCUACUUCAACCAAAAAACGAGUGUACUUCGAAGACCCAGUUGAAUUUUAUGCUCAACGAGAGGAUGUGAUAUCUUGGACGUCUAAAAUCACUAAUUUGGUAAGAACGGGUCAGCCAGAAUCUGCUUUUGGCUUUUUCAAGAUGAUGUUCUCAAAUGGGCACAGGCCAAAUUAUGUGACAAUGCUGAGUGUAAUAAGAGCUAUUGAUGCAUUGAGCUGGGAUUCAAUGAUCGAGGUGAUGCAUGGAGUAGUGAUCAAAAUGGGUUUUGAGUCAGAAGUGGCAGUUUCAACAGCCCUUCUAGGAUUUUAUUCAAUUCGUGAUAUUGAGACUGUCUGGAAGUUGUUUAAUCAGAUUCCUUCUAAGGAUGUUGUUUUGUGGAGUGCCAUAAUCUCAGUUUGCGUGAAAAAUGGUCAGUAUAAUGAAGCAUUUGAUCUUUUAAGAGAGAUGCAAGAUCAAGGAGUUCAACCAAACCAAGUAACCAUUGUGAGCAUUCUACCUGCUUGUGCUGAUUUUGGUGUGCUAUCUUUAGGUAAAGAGUUGCAUGCGUUUUCAAUGAGAAGGGAUUUUUAUUCUAUGGUUGAUCUUCAGAAUUCACUCAUGGAUAUGUAUUCAAAAUGUAGAAAGUUUGAGGCGUCAAUUAGAGUUUUGAAGUUGAUGAGGAAAAAGGACGCAGUAUCAUGGAAAAUUAUAACUCAUGCAUGUAUCCAAAACAAUUGUCCUAGUAAAGUGUUCAAAAUUUUCUCAAGGAUGCGAUCUUUCGGGUUUGAGCUAAGCGAAACAAUGAUGCUGGAUAUGAUAUCUGCAGUAUUACUACUUGAUGAACUUUUACUUGGCUUGGCUGUUCAUUGCUAUGCCUUGAAAGGUGGUUUUCUCUGUUUUAUUUUAGUUGGAACUGAACUUCUCCAAAUGUAUGCUAAAUUUGGUGAUUUAAGGUUGGCCAAGCUUGUAUUUGACGGGCUUGUUGACAAAGAUAUCAUUGCCUGGAGUGCGAUGAUCUCAGCUUACUCUCAUGGUGAAGAUCCACUUAAUGCGAUCCAGACAUUUAAAAUGAUGCAAUCAACUAAUGAAAAGCCUAAUGAGAGAACUUUUGUUAGUUUAAUGGAUGCUUGUUCUUCAUUGGGUGCUAAGGAGCUGGGAGAAACUAUACAAGCUCAUACAAUAAAAUGUGGGUACACGUCUAAUACACACUUGAUGUCAGCUUUGGUUGGAUUUUAUUGCAAACUUGGAAGAAUAAAGCUAGGAGAACAUGUUUUUGACGAGAUUUCGAGGAAGGAUGUAAUUUGUUGGAAUGCACUGAUUAAAGGGUACGGAUUGAAUGGCUGCGGGAACAAGGCACUCAAUACAUUUUCAGACAUGUUAAGUUAUGGUUUGAAGCCUAAUGGAGUGGUCUUUGCCUCUCUUUUAUCUGCUUGUGCUCAGUGUGGAUUGGAAAAGGAAGUUCGGAUGUGGUUUCGUUCAAUGAAUGAUGAGUAUGGAAUUACUCCGACAAUGGCACAUUAUGCUUGUAUCGUAGACUUGCUUGUUCGACAAGGAAAAAUUAGAGAAGCUGUUGAAUUUGUGAAGAAAUGCUAGUAGAGCCCGAUAAAGAAUCUGGGGUGCUCUUUUUUCGGGUUUCAAAUUAACUCAUAGGCCCUGAAAUUGCAGAUUCUUUUGUAAACAGCUCACUGAUUGAAAACCAAACAAUAUGCAAUGCUACUAAACUUUUGUGCUGAGGUUAACAGAUGGAAGAUGGGAAGAUGCAGAUGGAGUAAGGAAGUUGAUAGAUGAAACGGGAUUGAGGAAGAUGUUUAGAUUACAGAAAAUUCCAUCGACAAGAAGAUGGUUCGUAACAGAACUUACAUGAAAAGGAAUUUUGCUACCUUAGGACCAUUAUCAUCUGGUCACCUACUUCCUGGACCUUCUAGCACUGGACAGAUGUAUACAUGGUCUUGCAAUUUUGCAAAGAUCUCUGUUUUUGGUUGGUAAACAGUCGCCCGGUGGGUCACUGCAACCUCUUCUUCCAUGUCAAUGCUGUUAUUGUAUCCGAUUGGAAAACUGAUGGAUGCAAGGAAAUUUGUCAGGUUCAAGGCUAACCAAUACAUAAUUCAUGAAGGGCGGAAUUCUUGAAGUGCUUCUUGUCAAUGCCAAAGACAUCAGACACACCAAUCGACUUGGUACUCUCUUCGCUUACCCUCUGCCUUUCACUCGCAAUUUCUUUUAAUCUUAGCCCAUGUUGAGGAGUAAUUAGAGAUGUCCAUUAGGAACUCCCCACCCUAUUUCAAUUCCCAUUUUUACAAAUUUUUUCAUUAAGUUUCGCAAGACUCAGUGACGAAAAUUCUUCCUUUGGUUUUUCUUUAAAAAUUGAAAAAUAUUCUCGAUCAAAUAGAAUUUCUACAUUUGGAAAUCAUACAAGAUUUUUUAAUAAGAGAAAAUAUAUAAUUAAAAUGUUCAAUCUCGAUAAUUUCUAAAAGUAAAAAUUGAAAUAUUUAAAACGAUAUGAGCAUCUAAUUUUAAAGGGUUUUUAAAGUAUCAAAUAUUAAGAAUAGUUGGAGUUGGAGUGAGGAUACAUGUCCUCGUUUAACCAAUGGGGAGAAAUUUCUCGACUCCCUCUUCUAUUUCUCGUGUAAUUUGAGAUUCUCAAUCAUACGAAACUUCGGCAAUUUGGGGGUGGAGAUCAAAUGAUCGAUCUUCACACCUUAUUCAAUACGCUAUGCUUGAAUUUCUGUUUGAUGCAAAACUUGUGAGCCUGAAAUUAUCAGUUAGUGCUUUAGGUUCCCCAGCAUAUUACGUGACGGUAGAAUGUGGAAAUCAUGAACGUAGAACAAAAGUAUCCUCAGGCAAACAUGAACAUGCUUGUUGGAAUGAAAAGUUUUCAUUUGAACUCCCCACCUCUGAUUGGAAUAACAUAACUCAUAUCAAAUUCAGAAUCAUGGAAACCAAAUUGCUGAACAAUGAAUCCGUUGGAGCAACCAAUCCAUCUUGGUGGGAUAGUUUCAGAGGGGUAUGAAAGGGGACUCAUAGAAGUUUUGCCAGCCCCAUACAACGUGGUGCUCGAGGAGGACAACACUUACAAAGGAGAAAUAAAAAUAGGAUUCAAGUUCUUCACCAAAG